GAAAAUUUAGGCCCAAAAGAGGGGUGGCCGGCCAUAUGGCCCAAGCCCAUGGUAAUUCAUUAAUCCAUGUAUUAAAUGAGACAUUAGACCACAAUUCUUUCAUUUUCAAGAAUCUUCAAGAACAAAAUUGAGAGAAAAAGAAGAGCAAAAACUUGAAGGACCACACGGCCAAGACCUUGGAAAAUUAGGUCCUCAAAAUCUUCCUCCAAAAAUUAUUAGCUUGUGGUUUUCCUACUCAAUUAAGGGUCCUUUACAACUUGGUGUAGUUGUUUUGGAAGAAGGAGCACUUAUUUCUUCAAGUUGACAACUUGUUCAAGUGAAGAAAUUUGUAGAAAAAGGUUUUGGACGAAACGGGAUUUGAGUUUUGGCAAGCGUAAAGGGCAAGAAAGGUACCGACGACAGGUUUGCUGAUCCGUCCGCUUAGGAUCUUAUUCUCCUAUUUUGGAGCGCUCUCUUAUCCAGAGCCCAUCUUUUGGUAUAGUCUGUCACUACUGUAUAUAUAUAUUCUCGUUCAUGGGUACGGCGGGGCCCUGUCC